CGUCUGAUCACUAUGAGGUGAGCCAGCUAGUGAGGAGCAAGCUGCUCGCUAUAAAUUCCCCACUUCCUUGAAGCCACGUAAGAAUCCAAAAAUUAAGCCUCGGAUAAGACCUUUCCAGUAUUGUAACGACCUCGGCAAACCCUAUAAGGACUAUGAUUUGAGGGCAUGCAUUCGGUGUGUCAGGUGUGUAAACAGGCCGGCUGGUUUAAGCCCGCGUGAAAGGAAUUGACUGAACGCCACACAAGGAAUUUGCGACUUUGCGCGAGGUUUUAACGUCGUCAUCACCCGAACACAUCGACACAGAAAAUAAUAUUGCGGCUUAAGAAAGCUGUAGAACCUUCCGACUUCUACUACAGUUGGCAUGUAAAGAUGUCGAAUAUUUGGUUCGAGAGAGAUUUCGUCACCAAGCACUGCCAUUCACUCUGGCGAACGAACAAUUUGCCAAAAUCAACUUCAAAGAGAGAUUCUUCCAACGACUCGUUAGUACUUACAUAGAGUGCUGCCCACGCCAAGAUACAAAAAUCGGGCAUCCUACAUGGCGGGAUAAGACUGUUUUUCGUUGUCUGCAUACUGCUGCUAGGCAAAUAUAAAAGGUUCUGCGACUCGCGGUACUGUGCAUCACCGGAGCGCUGAGGCUCACUCCUCUGAACCUGAAAUGAUCCCCAGUUUACCGCCCAUUGGCCUAUUCGCGGAAAAUCGUGCUGCUAAAUCCGCACAUAGAUUGAAGGCAAUAGGGGAAUGCAAUUUCAUAACCUUUGGGCACAGCUUAUUGGGGCUGGAAGCACAGGAAGCACGGUCUACAUGGCACUUAGCUUUAAGUGGGAA